GCCGAGGUGUACGUUGGGUCUGAAAUGUGAUGAGAAAGCACAGAAUCAGAAAGUCGUCUGUGCUCGCUACAAUUACGACCGUAAUCUCCAGUGCUAUUUUACCUUGGUGGAUGCAGAGGUCAUUGUUUUGGGGAAGAGUCCUGGUACUUUGUUGAGCUCUGCCAUCAGUUUAGCGAGCUGAAACAAAACAUGGGCUCUCUUGGUCAUGAAGUUCUCCUCUUCCUCAUCGGAAUCCAGCACUUGAGGUCGAGGGAGGGGUUCGGACGCGGGCCUUUUAGCGCCCGCCUUCCGGGUUGGGAAGGCAAAGGC